CUCACUCUCUCUCUCUCUUUCCUCCCGCACCCUCUCUCCCUCUCCCGCAACCUCCCUCUCUCUAUCUCCUAAGCUGUCCCCCACUAUGUGCGUGUGUGGGUGAGGAAAUACAGAGAAGGAAAGAAGAAGGAAAAAAAGAAAGAAAUAUCGGAACCCUUUUCCUCUUUCUCUCUCUCCUUUCUCCUUCUUUCUCUUCUUUCUCUUCUUCCUCUUAUCACUGCCAUAGGUUGUGUUGAUGCCAUGGGUCGACCUAUUUGCAGGUCUUAAGUACAUGGCAUGGCAUGGAUCUGACUCAUUUCCAGGGCAUGCCUCGGAAUGAAAAGGUCUCCAAGUAGGUGGAAUCGGUCUAUCAUGUCGAGAAGAACAUAAUGGUAACCCGUUGAACAUUCUGUCCUUUCGGCUGCUAUGGAUUUAAUCAAAAAAUGGCUGCCAGACACGGUGUCAAUCCUGCUGCAAGAACAGCUGAUCUUCAAAUAUGCAAAGCACAAAGUUAUCAUGGGUAGCAAUUGGAACAUUGCUGCAAACAUCAACCCAUAGUGAAGCCUUUUUAGCAAUACAAAGGUUUCGUUAUUCGUAAGAUUCAAUCAUGUACGAUACACCUGAGCUGCAUAAAUAGAAUGAAACUAGGAAUGCUGAUGUCUGACAUUACGGUUAAGUAAAACAGUUGUAAUCAUAUUUAAAAUUUAUCCAAGAAUACAUGAUAAGCUUAAGGAAGUUAUUUCAUAAAGAGUGAUUUUUCUGUCAA